rnacentral:antisense_RNA from 2 species
UAGAAAAUUGCUCCUUUGUGAGUGAUUUUAGAUAGGCAUGAAGAAAAUCUGACCAAAGAAUUGUUCUUCAUGCUUUUAUUGUAUCA